rnacentral:rRNA from 1 species
GACGAACGCUGGCGGCGUGCCUAAUACAUGCAAGUCGAACGCAGUGGGGACGGGUAAGUAACACGUGGUUAACCUCCCAUCAGAUGGGAUAACACUUGGAAACAGGUGCUAAACCGAUACUGAUUGAUGUACCCGCGGUGCAUUAGCUAGUUUGUGAGGUAACGGCUCACCAAGGCGACGAUGCAUGGCGGACCGGAGAGGGUGAGCGGACACACUGGGACUGAGACACGGCCCAGACUCCUACGGGAGGGAGCAGUGGGGAAUCUUCGGCAAUGGACGAAAGUCGGACCGAGCAAAGCCGCGUGAGUGAAGAAGGUUUUCGGAUCGUAAAACUCUGUUGUUAGAGAAGCGGUAUCUAACCAGAAAGCCACGGCUAACUACGUGCCAGCAGCCGCGGUAAUAC